CUUCACCGACCCCAGCCACAACGGCCGUUCCACAGGCCGCUGUUGGCCGUACGUGGCCAGCAGCGCCUGCGCCUC
rnacentral:antisense_RNA from 15 species